UGGGGAAUAUUGCGCAAUGGGCGAAAGCCUGACGCAGCAACGCCGUGUGAGGGAUGAAGGCUUUCGGGUCGUAAACCUCUGUCGGAAGGGAAGAACGGGCAUUGGUCUAAUAGGCCUUUGUUUUGACGGUACCUUUAGAGGAAGCACCGGCUAACUCCGUGCCAGCAGCCGCGGUAAUACGGAGGGUGCAAGCGUUAUUCGGAAUUACUGGGCGUAAAGCGCACGUAGGCCGCUUUGUAAGUCAGGGGUGAAAUCCCACGGCUCAACCGUGGAACUGCCCUUGAAACUGCGAAGCUUGAAUCCUGGAGAGGGUGGCGGAAUUCCUGGUGUAGGAGUGAAAUCCGUAGAUAUCAGGAGGAACACCGGUGGCGAAGGCGGCCACCUGGACAGGCAUUGACGCUGAGGUGCGAAAGUGUGGGGAGCAAACA
rnacentral:rRNA from 1 species